UACGUAGGGGGCUAGCGUUAUCCGGAAUUACUGGGCGUAAAGGGUGCGCAGGUGGUUUCUUAAGUCAGAGGUGAAAGGCUACGGCUCAACCGUAGUAAGCCUUUGAAACUGGGAAACUUGAGUGCAGGAGAGGAGAGUGGAAUUCCUAGUGUAGCGGUGAAAUGCGUAGAUAUUAGGAGGAACACCAGUUGCGAAGGCGGCUCUCUGGACUGUAACUGACACUGAGGCACGAAAGCGUGGGGAGCAAACAGGAUUAGAUACCCUGGUAGUCCCUGA
rnacentral:rRNA from 1 species